rnacentral:rRNA from 1 species
AAAUUGAAGAGUUUGAUCAUGGCUCAGAUUGAACGCUGGCGGCAGGCCUAACACAUGCAAGUCGAACGGUAACAGAAAGAAGCUUGCUUCUUUGCUGACGAGUGGCGGACGGGUGAGUAAUGUCUGGGAAACUGCCUGAUGGAGGGGGAUAACUACUGGAAACGGUAGCUAAUACCGCAUAACGUCGCAAGACCAAAGAGGGGGACCUUCGGGCCUCUUGCCAUCGGAUGUGCCCAGAUGGGAUUAGCUUGUUGGUGGGGUAACGGCUCACCAAGGCGACGAUCCCUAGCUGGUCUGAGAGGAUGACCAGCCACACUGGAACUGAGACACGGUCCAGACUCCUACGGGAGGCAGCAGUGGGGAAUAUUGCACAAUGGGCGCAAGCCUGAUGCAGCCAUGCCGCGUGUAUGAAGAAGGCCUUCGGGUUGUAAAGUACUUUCAGCGGGGAGGAAGGGAGUAAAGUUAAUACCUUUACUCAUUGACGUUACCCGCAGAAGAAGCACCGGCUAACUCCGUGCCAGCAGCCGCGGUAAUACGGAGGGUGCAAGCGUUAAUCGGAAUUACUGGGCGUAAAGCGCACGCAGGCGGUUUGUUAAGUCAGAUGUGAAAUCCCCGGGCUCAACCUGGGAACUGCAUCUGAUACUGGCAAGCUUGAGUCUCGUAGAGGGGGUAGAAUUCCAGGUGUAGCGGUGAAAUGCGUAGAGAUCUGGAGGAAUACCGGUGGCGAAGGCGGCCCCCUGGACGAAGACUGACGCUCAGGUGCGAAAGCGUGGGGAGCAAACAGGAUUAGAUACCCUGGUAGUCCACGCCGUAAACGAUGUCGACUUGGAGGUUGUGCCCUUGAGGCGUGGCUUCCGGAGCUAACGCGUUAAGUCGACCGCCUGGGGAGUACGGCCGCAAGGUUAAAACUCAAAUGAAUUGACGGGGGCCCGCACAAGCGGUGGAGCAUGUGGUUUAAUUCGAUGCAACGCGAAGAACCUUACCUGGUCUUGACAUCCACGGAAGUUUUCAGAGAUGAGAAUGUGCCUUCGGGAACCGUGAGACAGGUGCUGCAUGGCUGUCGUCAGCUCGUGUUGUGAAAUGUUGGGUUAAGUCCCGCAACGAGCGCAACCCUUAUCCUUUGUUGCCAGCGGUCCGGCCGGGAACUCAAAGGAGACUGCCAGUGAUAAACUGGAGGAAGGUGGGGAUGACGUCAAGUCAUCAUGGCCCUUACGACCAGGGCUACACACGUGCUACAAUGGCGCAUACAAAGAGAAGCGACCUCGCGAGAGCAAGCGGACCUCAUAAAGUGCGUCGUAGUCCGGAUUGGAGUCUGCAACUCGACUCCAUGAAGUCGGAAUCGCUAGUAAUCGUGGAUCAGAAUGCCACGGUGAAUACGUUCCCGGGCCUUGUACACACCGCCCGUCACACCAUGGGAGUGGGUUGCAAAAGAAGUAGGUAGCUUAACCUUCGGGAGGGCGCUUACCACUUUGUGAUUCAUGACUGGGGUGAAGUCGUAACAAGGUAACCGUAGGGGAACCUGCGGUUGGAUCACCUCCUUA